GACGAACGCUGGCGGCGUGCUUAACACAUGCAAGUCGAACGGAAAGGCCCUGCUUGCAGGGUGCUCGAGUGGCGAACGGGUGAGUAACACGUGGGUGAUCUGCCCCUUACUUUGGGAUAAGCCUGGGAAACUGGGUCUAAUACUGGAUAGGACCAUGCUGUAGGUGGUGUGGUGGAAAGAUUAGUUUCGGUAAGGGAUGAGCUCGCGGCCUAUCAGCUUGUUGGUGGGGUAAUGGCCUACCAAGGCGUCGACGGGUAGCCGGCCUGAGAGGGUGGACGGCGACAUUGGGACUGAGAUACGGCGCAGAAUCCUACGGGAGGCAGCAGUGGGGAAUAUUGCACAAUGGGCGCAAGCCUGAUGCAGCGACGCCGCGUGGGGGAUGACGGCCUUCGGGUUGUAAACUCCUUUCAGCCAUGACGAAGCCCUUGUGGUGACGGUAGUGGUAGAAGAAGCACCGGCUAACUACGUG
rnacentral:rRNA from 1 species